rnacentral:rRNA from 1 species
UACGUAGGGGGCAAGCGUUGUCCGGAAUCACUGGGCGUAAAGGGCGCGUAGGCGGCCCUCUUAGUCGCGUGUGAAAGCCCCGGGCUCAACCUGGGAACGGCGCGCGAAACGGGAGGGCUGGAGUUCGGGAGAGGAGAGUGGAAUUCCCAGUGUAGAGGUGGAAUUCGUAGAUAUUGGGAAGAACACCGGUGGCGAAGGCGGCUCUCUGGACCGAGACUGACGCUGAGGCGCGAAAGCGUGGGGAGCAAACAGG